rnacentral:lncRNA from 1 species
GCCCGGAACCAGUCGGGCUGAUGAGGGCGAGGGGCUUUGUCCCGGCGCGGGGACAGCGAGGCACGGCUGGGGCUGAGCCCUGCCCCGGGGUCCCCGGCACGGCAGCAGCCCCGGCACCGCUAUUUUUAGUGGGGCCGAAUUCCUGCCCGGCACCAUCCCUGCUGCAGGGACAGCUGGGGACAGCUCGGCUUUCCCCCCCUGCCCUGCCCUGGCCGGAGUAAGCGGGUGAUGAAACACGGCGGGGAUGGUCUCACUGCCCCGGCACACCGGGAUCCAGCGCGGUUGGGAAUGUCAGGGCUGAUUAAGCUGAGAAUCGGGAGCUGUGAGCCCGAUCUCCAGUCACUUGGUGAGGUCAGCUGUGACAUGCAGAGAGCAUCGCUGGGGAGCUGCUGGAGGGCACUGGAGGGCCCGCUGAAUCCAGAGAGCUGGAGGUGGAAAGGGCAAGGAGAGAUUCUCUGCUCAGCUGAGCCAGCACUCUCAGAAGCAGCUGAUGAACCCCAGCAAGGAGAUUUCAGCUCUCCGAUACAACUCAGACCCGAGUGCCAAAGGCUCUUGCAGUGUCUUUGCUGAGAGUCAGUGACAAUUCACACUUCUGCAUUCCCUGACUUCCUGAAUCCACAGCCAUUUCUGCACCUCCAGAUAAAUCAGGAACCCAGAGGAAGAAGAUUUAGUGCAGAGAAAUCUUUAGAUGAGAAGAUUUUUAGAAGCAGGAGUUCAGCACAUUGAAAUCUGUCCAUGUGAGUGCUGUUCAGGUGCUCUGUCUGCCUUGGGAGGGUGUAAAUCCAAGGCAGUCUUUGUUGGGGGGAGCACGAUUUAACGACAAAUAUCAGUAAAUUGUUCUAAUUCCACACCUUUUGUGUGCCUCUGAGGAUUGCGAUGGAGUCAUUUAAAGCUCGUGGCACCAAGCCCGGCAGCACAAACGCCUGGAGCAUCCCGUGUGUGGUUCCUGAGCUCUCCUUCCCGGAGGGACAAACGCACCUGGCCGGGCACAGGCAGCGCUCCCAGCUCCGGCUGAGCAGGGAAACGCGAGGCUGCUGUGACAGCAGAGACACAGCAGGGCAUGGCUGGGCUCCCCAAUACUGCCAGCUCGGGCCAGCUCGGGCUGCCUGUCCGGGAGCAGGCACAGCAGAGCCUGACACCCAGCUGUGCCUCUGCUGAGGGUAUUUCUGCCCCACAACAUCUCCCAGAAGUUCUGACUUGGCACCGGCUUGGCUCAGUCGAGUAUCACUGCACAACCUGAAACUGUAAACUCUAAGUGCUUUUAUACAGCAAAGCUCUCGCUGCUUAAUGUGCAGUGGCUGAACGGUGUGUCCAUAAAACACACACUCAAGUCAUGAACGUGCUUUUCCUGCCCUCAUAAAACAUCUACAGAGACUUACAUCCCCCGAGGAAUUUUGGAACUCACACAGAUACAGUAGUGACAUUACUCCUCAGUGUACAUUUUCCUUGGUUCUUUGGCUGAUUCUCAAGUUGAAGUUUUUUUUUUUUCCUGUAGGCAGGGGUUUGUAAAAGGUCCAGAUUCUACUCUUUUAUAUAGCAGGAAUCUUACAUUGUGCCUUUAAAGCUUUGUCAUGACGGCUCCUGGUAUGUUCCCAGUUAAAUCUGCAGUAAAACUCUCCCUACAUUCAGGCAGAGCAGGAUUAGGCCUUACAUUUAAGAUUCCAGACAUGAUAGAGUCUCACUAAUACAAGUACUUAAUCCUCAUUUCAAUUUAUAUUUCAAUAUUCAUACUGGCAUCUAGAGGUAUCUAUUCAAUGUUGAUAAAAUAAGUAAGGCGUGUGUCUGGUUCCAUUGCCACUGUUUUGCAGUGGUGCCUAUAAAAUCAGCCCAGAGAAAUCCACAUCUCCUUCUUUCCUGGCCUACCACUGCUCCUACUGGAAUUGGCCAAUUUCUGUACUGCCAGUCGUGUGUUACAAUAAAAGGCACGAGGAUUUACA